GACGAACGCUGGCGGCGUGCCUAACACAUGCAAGUGGAGCGACGAACCGGGCUUCGGCCCGGGGCCAAGCCGCGAACGGGUGAGUAACACGUGGGUAACCUGCCCUGAUGAUUGGGACAACCCGAGGAAACUCGGGCUAAUACCGAAUGUGCCCUCCGACCAUAAGGUCUGCGGGAAAGAAGCUUCGGCCUCCGCAUCGGGAUGGGCCCGCGGCGCAUUAGCUUGUUGGUG
rnacentral:rRNA from 1 species